ACAAGCGGUGGAGUAUGUGGUUUAAUUCGAUGCAAACGCGAAGAACCUUACCUGGUCUUGACAUCCCGGAGACCCUUAGGAAACUAGGGGGUGCUUCCAUCUGGAAGAAUCUGGAGACAGGUGCUGCAUGGCUGUCGUCAGCUCGUGUCGUGAGAUGUUGGGUUAAGUCCCGCAACGAGCGCAACCCUUGCCUUUAGUUGCCAGCAGUUCGGCUGGGCACUCUAAAGGGACUGCCGGUGUUAAACCGGAGGAAGGUGGGGAUGACGUCAAGUCCUCAUGGCCUUUAUGACCAGGGCUACACACGUACUACAAUGGCCGAUACAAAGGGCAGCGACACUGCGAGGUGAAGCCAAUCCCGUAAAAUCGGUCUCAGUCCGGAUUGGAGUCUGCAACUCGACUCCAUGAAGUUGGAAUCGCUAGUAAUCGUGGAUCAGCAUGCCACGGUGAAUACGUUCCCGGGCCUU
rnacentral:rRNA from 1 species